GCACCCCACUCCUGCUUUGUUGGAGCCGAUCGCUGCUUGCAUCACCCAGGCCACCCCUCACCUGUGAUCUGCAGGCAAGAUUCCCGGCUGUGGGGUCGGGGAGAUGGCUCGUCCUCUUCGCUCACCUCCUGGAAAGUGGCGGAGCUCCGAGUUUUCUUGACCGCCGGCGGCAGCGUGGCAGGGAGAUGCCUGCCAUCUGCUGGAUAUUCAAAGAUCAUAUUUCAGUUUCCCAUGUACUUCAUUGAUGAAUGAUUUUAACAAACUAAUUUUGCACAAACUUUUAGCUGGUUGCAUUUAUUAAAAAUCUCACAGAUUGUAAAA